AGCCAUUAACUUCAGUGUUCAUUGAUGGUUCUUGCCGGCCACAGAAUCAUCUAUGAACACUGAAGUUAAUGGCUGAUAUAUAUACCUAAUAUAUAUACCUAUAACACAUAUAUAUAGUAGAUAAACUGUUAUAGUUAUAUAUGUAUGUGUAUGUAUAUAUAGUUAUAUCUAUAACUAUAACUGUUUUUAUAUCUACCUAAUAUAUAUACCUAUAACAGUUUCUAUAUCUACCUACGUAUAUAAACCAUCCAUUCACACCAAUUCCUCUGAUUCUAAUCCAGCUCCAUAGGGGGUAUUCUAACCUUCCCCCUUUCCAUAUUUGUUAUGCUUUUUCAACAGUGAAAAACCUGGUUCUCACUCUCUGCCACAUAUUUACUUAUUUGAUUAAUUGUGGAAUGCACUUGAGAUAGUUUCAGGAUUUUGGAUGCCUUUUUUAUGUUUGUGUAAUUUUAGUCAAUAAAUGUUGUUAAGGUUAAAGGUGAAGCAAGACAGACUUGGUUAAGUGUGUAAACUCUGGAAGUUGGAAGUUAUUUAAUCUUUCUGAGUCUCACCUUCCUUAUCUGCAAAAUAGGAAUAAUAACAAUGUGUAGCUCAUAGGAGUGCAGUGAGGAUUGAGGGAACGUACGUAAAGUGUUUAGCACAUAGGAAACCCUAAAUAAAUGGUACACAUUUUUAUGAGCUAUUGUUUAGGAAAUAAAGUGAAAUUUUCUAUGAGUACCCAAUUGUUUUAAUAAAAAGUUGACCCAUAUAUCAGUUGAUGUGAGGGAAACAAGAAAGAGGUUGGAAGCGCUGAAGCUUUCCAUACAAUUUCUCUUUCCACAUAGUUAUGUGCCACACAAUGACGUUUCAGUCAAAGAUGGACUACAUAUAUGACAGUGGUUUCAUAAGAUUAUGAUACCAUAUUUUUACUGUACCUUUUCUAUGUUUAGAUAUGUUUAGACACAAAUACUUACUAGCAUGUUACAAUUGCCUAGGGUAUCAGUACAGUAACACCCUGUAGGGGGUUGUAGCCUCAGUGAAAUAGGCUAUACCAUAUAGCCUAGGUGUGAAGUAGACUAUACCAUCUAGGUUUGUGUGAUACUAUCUAGGCUUGUGUGAGUACACUCUAUGAUGUUUGCACAACGAUGAAAUCACCUAAAGACGCGUUUCUCAGACCGUAUCUGUAUUUCUGUGGUUAAGUGAUUCGUGACUUUACGCAGUUGUAGAAGCUGAUCAUUUUCCUCCACUAGGUGGCAGCAUAUGUGUCGUUGCCUUUAAGGCGGGUUCCUUAUGAGACGACCCAAGCAUGUUGGAGAAAGAAAACAACUUCGGAAUUAGGAUCCUCAUACAAAAUGAAUGUGACUAUGGAGUAAGAAACACAAGGACAGAAGGAGUGGUGGAAGCUCAUUCAUCCCAGUAAUGGCACCUAGGCAAGACUGUGGAACCGUCCCUGCUUCCAAAACCAUCUGAGCUGCCUGGCCCCUGUCUGUUUAAGCUCUGUUCUAGUCCUUCCCUUCCAUCCUGUGGCAGCCAUGGCCGCCCUGUCACUUCCCUUGUCUUAAUUUAGGCUGAGUCCAUUUCUGCUUCUUAUCAUCAAUGAGCCUGGCCUUAUACGAGCUCAUCCUGAGGAAGAAAGAAUUCCUAUUUCCCCUUCCGAGGGAAGACCAAGGUGGAGCCUAAAGAAAAAAUAUGACCUUCCUACCCUGAGGGAAUAAACUUGCUAUGAUUCUUAGCCGAAAAGAAGUCUACAUAAUUUGCUAGGCCUA
rnacentral:lncRNA from 1 species